rnacentral:rRNA from 1 species
GACGAACGCUGGCGGCGUGCUUAACACAUGCGAGUCGAACGGAAAGGCCCUGCUUUUGUGGGGUGCUCGAGUGGCGAACGGGUGAGUAACACGUGAGUAACCUGCCCUUGACUUUGGGAUAACUUCAGGAAACUGGGGCUAAUACCGGAUAGGAGCUCCUGCUGCAUGGUGGGGGUUGGAAAGUUUCGGCGGUUGGGGAUGGACUCGCGGCUUAUCAGCUUGUUGGUGGGGUAGUGGCUUACCAAGGCUUUGACGGGUAGCCGGCCUGAGAGGGGGACCGGCCAAAUUGGGACUGAGAUACGGCCCAGACUCCUACGGGAGGCAGCAGUGGGGAAUAUUGCACAAUGGGCGGAAGCCUGAUGCAGCAACGCCGCGUGCGGGAUGACGGCCUUCGGGUUGUAAACCGCUUUCGCCUGUGACGAAGCGUGAGUGACGGUAAUGGGUAAAGAAGCACCGGCUAACUACGUG